rnacentral:lncRNA from 1 species
CAGAAACCCCUGAUAAACCCAUCAGUUUUCAUGAGACUUAUUCACUAUCACGAGAAUAGCAUGGGAAAGACUAGCUCCCAUGAUUAUUACCUCCCCCUGGUUCUCUCCCAUAACGUGGGAAUUCUGGGAGAUACAAUUCAAGUUGAGAUUUGGGUGGGGACACAGCCAAACCAUAUCACUGACUUAUUUCACUUAAGACAAUAUUUCCAGUUUCAUCUUUGAUGCUGCAAAAGAUGUGAUUCUGUUCUUUUUUUAUGGCUGAAUAUACACUACAUUUUCUUUAUCCAACCAUCUGGUGAUGGAUACUUAAGUUGAUUCCUUAUCUUUGCUACAGUUCAGUGAUUUUUAAAGUAAACUUACAGAGUUGGGAAAUCAUCAUCAUAAUCCACUUGGAACAUUUUUAUCUCUGCAACAAGAUGUGUCCAUUUGUAGUCACAACUUGUUCCCACCACAACCCCCAGGCUGCCAGGAAUCUACUUUCUGUUUCUAUACAUUUUUUCUGGGCAUUUUAUAAAAAUGGAAUCAUGAAGUCUUUUGUGUCUGGCUUCUUUCACAGUAUAAUCUUUUUGAGAGUCAUCUGUAGUACUUGUGUUUCCUCUUAUUGUUGAAUAGCAGCCCAUUGUAUGGGCAUACUGUACUUUGUCUAUGCAUUCACCAGUUGGUGGACACUUGAAUUGUUUCCACAUUUUGGCAACUAUGAAUAAUGCUGCUAUGGACAUUCGUGUACAAGUGCUCGUGUAGACAUAUUAAUAUGUAAUCUUGUUCUAAAAGUCUAAAAUUCUAAGAAUUUAUCGAACUUGUGAAGAGAAUGACUAUUGAAACUAGCCUUGGUUCUUAUCCUUUGGAUGUGACUACAUUUUUGUCAGAAUGUCAUGAAGAAGCAUAAUUAUUUAUAUCCAAGAUAGAAUUUAACUUUCAAUUAAAAAAUGUUAAAGUUGAUUUUUAAUAAAAUACUUGGACAAAAGUAGAUCAGGGAUUAGGUUGAUUGCUUUUAAAUUUUAGUGUAAAAUUUCAAGAAAGGUUAGACUAGAUUCCAGUGGCUGCAAUGCUGCACAGCUAUAGGCCGCAUCCUCUCAUUGGAGUUGUGUGUGCAGGUGUGCCCUUCAUGUGGGAUGCAGUGGGAAUGGUGCCGUCCAGAGCUGUGUGUGAACAGGUGUCCAUACUGCUAGUCUUUGAGUCUGGGUAAUCUCCACUCUGUCCCUGGAGGGUGGGCCUGUUCUGCUUCUAGAGGUCAAUGCCAAGUCAGAAAGGGAGUCAAGGCCCAGAAUGCCACUCUGCAGACUACUAUAGUUCCAGACUCUAGGGAGUCCUGGGCAGGGGGCUUAUCUUAAACCAAAGGAAUUUCAGACUAGAAUUGUAGAUGGUGCCCUUGAAGAGCUGAUGGGACAGAUUGAAAGUCCUGACUCCCAGCUAAAGCAGUAUCCUACACACCCUCCCAUCUGGAGAGAUCUUGGGCUAGAUGCCCCCAGUCUAACUGAGACGCUGACUUUGGAGGGUUGUUCCAGCCUUGCAAUAGUAGUACCUUUUUGUUUAGGUGGGAGUGGAUUAGAACAGUGGGUAAAGUUUUGGGGUGAAAGAAGCCAACUGGGACAUAUGUCUUAGGGGGACACAGGCUUUGUCCAUCCUUUCUCUAAAAGUACUGGGCUGAACCCUCUCAGCAGAGAGUUGUGGAAAAUUAGAGACGUUCUGUGGAAAGACCAAGUUAAUGUUCAAGUCUCAGAAUCUGAUCUUAGGUCAAAUAUCUCUUGCUUUUGCCAGUAAAAAGAGCCCAGAUGUUUUUCUAUUUACUUAGGCAAACCCUUGAAACACAAGUUAGUCAUAUAAAACUUUACAUUUGCAAUGUUAAGAGCCCAUAUUUGGAAAGUCACAAGCAUAAAAUAUAUACUGUGAAAUGGGAGGUCAGGACGGUGAACUCAUUUCAGAACCAUAGUUUUGACUCAAGAAUUUUGAUGGGGUCUUCACGUUGGUUGAGCUUCUUGGUCCUAAUAUCAUUGAGAGAAUUAAAUCAUGAUAUUAAAACAUUGAAACACUAAUGCUUUGUUUUUAUUGGCAAGAACCAAAAUGAUCUAAUACUAAUGCCACGAAACAUCAGUCACUUUUUUCCUGAUGAAUAAGAUGAACUUUGGCUGCUUAUGAUAGUAAAUUUAAUAAUGUCAGUGAUUUGAACUGUUUCAGUUCUAAAUGUGCAGAAAUGUGUUUUACUGCAUCUCUCUCUCUCUCUCUCUCUCUCACACACACACACACACACACACACACACACUACUUCUGUCAGGAAGUUUUGUGGCAAAUGAGCCCAAAUGCAUAGAUUAGAGCAUAUCAUUCACAUGUGCCAUGUGUGUGCCAAAGUGUGCGUACCCACUGCUAGACUUCCUCUCACAGGUGGUCUGAAUUUGCUUCUAGCUGGUCCUGUAAGCAGAUUUAAUAUUUCAUAAGCACUGCUCCAUCUCAUGCCUCCAUUAUUGACACCACAUGGAAGUCAGGAAAUUGGUUCUUUCUGGGAACAGUUUGCAGAAAUAUGCAGCCUGUCAGCCCCUUUCUCAUGGGUGCAUUAACAGAGCAGCUCACGAUUACAAGUAACGAACCUUCUCCAGAUGUGUGUAGCAACUCAGCUCCAACUUUAUCUUCGGCCCUGAAGAUGGACUUGGCAAGAUGGAUUAUUUGUGGCUGUAUUGUAAUAACUUUGUGAAAUUGGAAUUCCCAGUGAUUGUAAUGGAGGGUGAGGAAGCGGCAGCAGAGGAACAGAUAAUUUCUCCUUGCAGUAAACAACGAAAAGACCAACAACAAUAAAAAGGGCAAAUCAGCUGUGGCAUUUUCCUGCUUUGGACACCGACUCUUCCAGACUGUUCUAAUUCUUUCCCUUUUAUGAUUCUGUUUAUGUUACACACAUUAAAGUUAAGUCAUGUCUUAAAUAAGAUGGAAACUGGAAGUGAGAUUUGGAAAUGACUGAAUCAGGCUUCUUAACUUUUUUCUUCUCUUGGAGAGCUCAAAAACAACGGACAGAAAGGGAUAUACCAAAGAAAACAAUAUUAAUUGUCGGCUUCCAUGGAAAAUUCAAUCCAGUCUUUCAUUCAUUCUCUUCCCAGUGCAGUGCCAGCAGACUUCUCUCUAUAUGGCUAAGGGCUUAAUUUAGCUGACAAAUUUCUGAAGGAUAACUAAGCUUUCAGAAAGAAAGAUUCUAGCUAUAAAUGAAGCAUGUGUGCUCUCUCAGUCACAAAAGACAGAUUUUUCCAGGAUAAAGUAAUUUGGGGUAAAUUUCUCCUGUAUUUUAUUAGCAGUGAUGAUUUCAAGGGAGUAUUCUUUUAAAGCAAGGCAGUAUUUAAAUCUUUCUUUUAAAUCACAAGUCCCUUGAGUUGAUAGUUAUAAAACUGGGUUCCACUGGGAGUUAUUUGUACAUCUUCAAGGUUGGCACCCUUAGUUGUUUGAUGUAGAUGUUCUAGAUAAAAUUCCUAAAGUCCAGCUGUUAUGAUUUAGCUUAAUAUGUUUGUACAGAGGGGUUUCCUUUGUCAUUGAAGAGAUAGAGUCAAAACAGAAUUAGUCAUUCUUGCAUCUUCUAUUUAUAGCCCACUAUUAUUCUGAUGCAUUGUCAAAGAAUGAAGUGGACAAGAAUUUUUCUUCCUUUCUUUCUUUUUUUUGUGUAAACAAAACUCUUUUUAUACUCUGUGGAUUUAACUUUGGUUGCUAACUUAGUCAGACAAGGCACUUAACAAAAAUAUUACUUCUUAAAUGAAAAAUUACCUAUUAAGUCAUCCCAUCUUCAUUUGCAAAUUAAAGGUUUGUCAGUACAAAGUAUGUGGGAUGACCAGAAGUCAUGGAUGACUUACACUGAAGUGGCAAGGGUAGAAAAGGUCAGUUUGAAAAUUUAUUUGUAUGGGUUGCUCAUGACUAAUAGUCCAAAUCUGGAGAGUUUAUAAACAAAAUUCUAUUCUGUUUAUUUAGUUUAUGCCAGCAUUAAAGCUAGCCUGAAAAUUUAGUGAAAGUCAUUUAAGGAAUUUUUAUUUGGAGGAAACUUUAAUUUUUAUUUUUGAGGUCACUGAAUAAAUGUAGAGGUCUCUGUGGCCUGUACUGCAACAAGUAGAACAGUUAGAUAAACUGGUUGUUGAAACUCCCUGGGCCACUGAGUUUUCUUAUUUCUUUUUUUUUUUUUUUUAGUAGAGAGCUGACUUUAGAGGGAUCAAGAAUAGCUUGCUGGAUGGAAGGAGCUUGGGGCCAGUCAUCAUCUUAAAGGCUCUGUGGCAGCUUGGACUUGAAGUAGGGUGCACCCGGAAUUGACCAAUACAAACAGUGGACUGCACUGGAUUCUUCUUGUGCCCUGUCUCAUAUCCUCUUGUCCCACCUUUUCAUAACAGCCAUUGCCAUGGGAACCAGCUGCAUCCAGGUACGACCUGACAGCACCCUGCUUCACUGUCAUGGUGCUCCUGCAGCAUUCUGGUUAGCCAUCAUGUUGCACACACAGACCUGGAAGGGUCAGGGAGUUGCCCAUGGCAACUCUUGGCCACCAAGGGAAAGGACUAGCUCGAUAGCACACUCUUGCCUUGCGUUUCCCUAUUUUUCUUCUCUUAGUUGUUCAUACCUUGUUUCACAUCCCCAUAUAAGCCAUCUGUACCCAAGUCCUUGUUUCAUCUUCCAUUUCAGGAAAUACCAGGUUAAUACAGAAACGCAAACUACAACAAAUAAACAUUCACAUUUUAAAGUCAGGCAACAAAACUUUAUGCCUUUCAGAGCAUAAUGCUUUCUGACUUCAAAAUAUAAGACUUCAUGCUUGGCCCUUCUUUAUUAAGAACUUACUUAAAUCAGCAUAUCUUUGCAUGGGACUUCAAAUCCUUUCAUUUAAGGCAAGUUUUACAGCCAAUAUUAACGUUGGUGUACCAGUACCCUGUUCUUAAACUGGCUAAAGCAGCCUCAAAAUUCCCAAAGGGAAUAAUGAAAAUUCCUAACAUCCUUGGCAGGAAAACAGUUGGAAGUUUAAAUCAAGCUAAUUGUUUUGGCUAAUAUGUUUUUAAUAAAAUAAAUAUUAAAUUAAUAAUAAAAAAGAUUUCAAGCUAUUUACAAAGAGAAAGGAAGGGAGGGGUUGCAGAAUGCCCAACUAUAAGAAAUGUUGCUUGGAAACUACUCAAGAAGAUGCAUUUUUGAGAGCCAGGAACUCUGCUCUCCUUCAUUCUGCAAGAAAGGGAUAAUGCUUCUAUUCAAGACUUCUCUGAAAAGCCUCCAACCGUCAGGGGGCUGUGGACAAAAUAUAUUUUUAGUUUUAGCUUGCAUACUGAAAUAGUUUUUAAUUUUUUCAAAUUUUGAAGUGAUUUUUAAAUAGCUUAAGAGCUUGCAGUUAUUGUUAACAUUUAAAGGUGCUAUAUUCCAGGUAUUGGGCUAUGAGCUUUAUAAGUAUUAUUUAAUUUAGUUUGCUUUUCACAGCAACUCUAAGAGGUAGGCAUUGUUAUUAUCUCUGGCUCAUAGAUGGAGACACUGGACUUCACAGAGUUAAACAUAAGUUGCCCUGACCCAUACAGCUGUUAAGUAGAGAGGCUGAAGAUGGAAUGAAAGCCAGGUCUGGCAACUACAAAGCUCAGGCCCUUGAAUUCUAACCUUAACCACUUGCAAUUUAAAAUGUCUGAAAGAAGAAAUAUAAACUAAUUUUAAAAUACGUGAUGAGAAAAUUUUCCUGUUGCUGAAGGAAAACCUGGUAUGUGGAUUGAAGUAGUUCACAUUCUAUAAGAAGCAACAUAAGGAACAGGCACCAACACCUAGGCAUAACCUGGAGAUGUAAGACGUGUAAGGACAAAGGUGGGACACCCAGAUUGCUUAAAAGGAAAAGCACUCGGGCUAGGUCUAAUAUCUGUCAGUUCCUGUGGGCCUUAGUUCCUGCUAUUUUCUCUUCCUGUAACUCUCCCUCCUGUCACAUGCCACCUGAUUCUCUUGGCUUGAUGAACUCUUGUUCAUUUUCCCAAAAUUCCAAGGGGAUCUUCCUGAUUCCAUAUACCAGUUAAGUGUCUUCUGUGCAUUUUUCUGUAUCACCCUCUACUAACCCUCUGCUGGCACUCACCACUGCAUAAUGUCUAUUUAAUUUAAUUAUUCUUACUAUUAAAAUGUGCACAUUUUGAAGGCAAA